GUGAGGCUCCAUCGCAUUAUCACGUGCUCAACUCCAAAGUCAAACAUCCUGACUUCCCUCCAUCAAGCCCAGGCCUCCUCCGCUGUGCCGGAGGUCGCCUCUGGCGGGGGCGGAGGCUUAAUAUCCUAAAAGAUUACAUCAGUGUAUCCUCCUUUCCAUCAUGAGUCCAAAAAUCACCAUGAAAAAACCUAAUUCAAUUUAUAUCAUAUGAAUCGAAGCGAUGAAUGGAAGAACCCUAGAUCCUCUAACAAAAAUUAAAUGAUGCCUAUCGAGAGUCAGAGCCCUAGAUGUUAUGGCUUUGACUCUUCUCAGAGUUUCCUACAUGGUGGUAACUCACUUGAAGUGAAAUGAUGAAGAUCAAACAAAAACUCACCGGAGCAACGUGCCGGAAAUGUCAGAAUUCUCACUUUGAUGUGGGCAUGGUGGGCAAGAUAGCAAGUCAUCAUGCAAGGCACAAAAACAAGGUCAAGGCAUGACCAAAUUAGCAAAGCUUGAUUAAUGGAGGAAAUGGUGGGCAUGGAAGAUGCAAUGAUGAAGAUGUGAUUAAUAUUAUGAUUUUAGGAUGAACAAUGUGAUUGUUGACUUUGGUCAAUCGAUUGACCAAAAAGUCAAUAGUUGACCAAAAAGUCAACAUUUAUAAAAAAUGAAGUGUUUUGAUAUUUCUUUUGUAAUGAACAUUAUACAUGUUUAAUAAAUGAAUGAAUAGCCAAAUGUGUGAAUGAAA